GGUGUAGUCCAAAACAUCUGGAGUGCCAAAGGUUGCCUAUGCCUGCCCUAGAGGCUAGGGAUUUGACAGAAGCCCUGUAACUAAGAUUUUGCAGUGCCCCAUAAACCAUCACUAUGUGAAUUAAGAAGGUGGGGUGGGGGGACAAAUGCUUCUCUGACUCACACCAAGUAGAAUAGCUGUGCUAUGAGUGCACACAUAUACAUUACAAUAUAUUUCCUUGUUCCCUGCUUGACUGGCUAGCACGUAAAUAUAUCUCACAUUUUAAUUAUUAUUAUUCAGCGUGGAUGUUCUUUGCUCUGAGCCAAACAGGAAAUCAGCCAUUAAACUGGUACGCAUGUGCGCAAUGUAAAAUCUCAUUUGUUCAUAUUUAUGUCCUCACGCCAUGCUAAAUAUUUGGAGAGCCAAAUGAUGAAGCGUUAUCGUACAAGAAAGAUUGUUGGGUCUUUUCAAAUCAUAUAUUGCAAAGUGUGAUAUCACACUGUGCAGUAAAAAAGUCUAUAUGCUCUUUUUAAAUAAAAUCAUGUAUAUACGGGCACAGUGGUUAAUAAGUGUUUUUUCCAUUUUGCAACAAAAUUGAAAAUCGUGUCAAAUUGGGUCUUUCACUUUCUUUUGGAUCAACAGCAGAAAACAGAAAUGUGUACAAAGUUGAACUUGAUGGACUUAAAAUGGCAUCAGGUUCAGCCUUUCUCACAUCUGUUUUUGCCGUUGAUCCACUUUCUGGCAUUUCAUGUGCAUGGAAGACUCAAUAGACUUUCUCCAAAGUCUUCACUCCUGCCCCCCAGUCAUUAUUAGUGACAGCUACGGGCUUGACUAAAGUUGACAGCUGUAGCUCCUCCUUUUGUCAAGCAUAGGAAAAAUAGAUAAGACAAAUUAUUCCCU